rnacentral:lncRNA from 1 species
CUUAUUUUCAGAGGAGUACAACAAAAAGAAACAUAACAUCAUGCCCUUCUGCUGGACCAAAAACAGAACAAAACAAAGAGACACAAUUACUCAUGGACACGACCACGUUUGCUUGCAACAGGUAAUUCAAAGUUAGGGCCUUCAAAAAUCAGAGUUUAAGUCCAACUGAAAGCAAUGGGACUAGUAACCUUAUGUUUCCCAUCCGACCAUUCCAGAUAAGCAAAGCUGGUUGUUCCAGAAGGCUUUGAAGAAGACAUGAAUGUAACUGUGUAGUUCUUCUUCUCGUUAAGUCCCCUGAAACUAAGUGUUUGAGGUUGAACCACAAUCUUCACCGGAGACUGCGACACCGAAACUUUAUACGUUCC